rnacentral:rRNA from 1 species
ANAGUUUGAUCNUGGCUCAGAUUGAACGCUGGCGGAAUGCUUUACACAUGCUAGUCGAACGGCAGCACGGAGAGCUUGCUCUCUGGUGGCGAGUGGCGAACGGGUGAGUAAUAUAUCGGAACGUGUCCAAUAAUGGGGGAUAACGAGUCGAAAGAUUCGCUAAUACCGCAUACGCCCUACGGGGGAAAGCAGGGGAUCGUAAGACCUUGCGUUAAUGGAGCGGCCGAUAUCUGAUUAGCUUGUUGGUGAGGUAAAGGCUCACCAAGGCGACGAUCAGUAGCUGGCUUGAGAGAACGACCAGCCACACUGGAACUGAGACACGGUCCAGACUCCUACGGGAGGCAGCAGUGGGGAAUUUUGGACAAUGGGGGCAACCCUGAUCCAGCCAUUCCGCGUGAGUGAAGAAGGCCUUCGGGUUGUAAAGCUCUUUCGCGAGGGAAGAAAACUUAUGAUCGAAUAAAUCAUGAGGUUGACGGUACCUUGAUAAGAAGCACCGGCUAACUACGUGCCAGCAGCCGCGGUAAUACGUAGGGUGCGAGCGUUAAUCGGAAUUACUGGGCGUAAAGCGUGCGCAGGCGGUUUUGUAAGUCGGAUGUGAAAUCCCCGGGCUCAACCUGGGAACUGCGUUCGAAACUGCAAGGCUAGAGUGUGUCAGAGGGGGGUAGAAUUCCACGUGUAGCAGUGAAAUGCGUAGAGAUGUGGAGGAAUACCAAUGGCGAAGGCAGCCCCCCUGGGAUAACACUGACGCUCAUGCACGAAAGCGUGGGGAGCAAACAGGAUUAGAUUACCCUGGUAGUUCCACGCCCUAAA